GCAAGGCCCAAUCAAACAUCACCAAGCACACGUGAAUCUGGCCAUGAAAUAAAUAAAUAAAUAAACAAACUAGAACUCUCAGUGAAUCAAGUCAAAACCGUACGGAUUCUAACUCUCAACUCUCAUCAGAAACCUCCUAUUCAACCAAACACCAACAACAUCUCAACGAGUUAUACAUCAGAAAUCAACACAAAUACAUCAGAAUAAAAUAUGAGGGAAAUCACAUAACUCUUCAUAAACACUAGAAUAGAUCGAUCGGAGAUGAAGCAAAGAAAAAAGGUCAUGGCAACAAACAUUACAAGAAUCGUGUGAAACCAACAAGCAUCAGAAAUACAAUACAAGGUUCUUAUAGAAAAGAAACGUCUUACCCCUUUAAAGCUAAAUGAUUCAAGUAAAGUUUCUUCUCUUUAAGCUUUAACAAUGUGAAUCUAUCUCCUCUCGUUGUGGUAGCUUACUGAUUAAUAUAUUUGUUGUUGAGUGAUGUCGUGAUCGUUCACUAGUUUGGUCCUUGGUGUGAAUCUGGGAUCUAGCUUAAGAUGUUUGUGACCUAUUUGUUUUGAUUGAUCUCCUUGGGAUUUUGUGUUGCUAUCCCUGUUUUUUUUUCUCUGUUGGUAUGUUAAUGACCAGACCCUUUUGAUGAAUCCGAUUAAAAGAGGAUGGUGUGAGCUUUUGAAAACUUGUUGCAAAAAAACUCAGCAAUAGAAAUGCUGCAACCAAAAGUACCCACCUCAAAGCAAUGCACAUGAAGACAAAAAUCCAUCCUGCAGAAAAAAUGAAGAGGGCCUACAUCUCUUAAUCCUUGUUGUUUUUAUUUUUAUUUUUUAGAUUAAAACAAAUGAUGUAAAAAAAAUUACUACUUUUUUUUUUUGAAUUUUAAUGCAAAAACAACAAUUUUAUUUC